rnacentral:ncRNA from 1 species
UGAAAAACGUUGAUAGAGAAGAGUAGCUUACAAAAUCGCCAUAUAGGGAGAGAGUGCCGUAGACUGAAAGCAUUCUUAUGGUAGACGGAAGUGAAUUCACCUCUGGAGUUGACGCCAGGACCAUUGUAUAUGUAAAGGCGUUCCGGUCAAAGCUGACCGUUAUCAUGAAUUGAGUGGGCAGACUUGUUCUGUCAAUUUAGGGUGGUACCGCGAAUUUACCUCGUCCCUUUU